AUUGAACGCUGGCGGCAUGAUUUACACAUGCCAGUCGAACGGUAACAGGCCGCAAGGUGCUGACGAGUGGCGCACGGGUGAGUAAUGCAUCGGAACGUGCCCAGUCGUGGGGGAUAACUACUCGAAAGAGUAGCUAAUACCGCAUACGAUCUAUGGAUGAAAGCGGGGGACCGUAAGGCCUCGCGCGAUUGGAGCGGCCGAUGUCAGAUUAGGUAGUUGGUGGGGUAAAGGCUCACCAAGCCAACGAUCUGUAGCUGGUCUGAGAGGACGACCAGCCACACUGGGACUGAGACACGGCCCAGACUCCUACGGGAGGCAGCAGUGGGGAAUUUUGGACAAUGGGCGCAAGCCUGAUCCAGCAAUGCCGCGUGCAGGAAGAAGGCCUUCGGGUUGUAAACUGCUUUUGUACGGAACGAAACGGCUCUGGUUAAUACCCGGGGCUAAUGACGGUACCGUAAGAAUAAGCACCGGCUAACUACGUG
rnacentral:rRNA from 1 species